GGGGCUGUAGCUCAGUGGUAGAGCGCUUGCCUCGCAUGUGUGAGGCACUGGGUUUGAUCCUCAGCACCA
rnacentral:tRNA from 1 species